rnacentral:rRNA from 1 species
AUUGAACGCUGGCGGCAUGCCUUACACAUGCAAGUCGAACGGUAACAGGUCUUCGGAUGCUGACGAGUGGCGAACGGGUGAGUAAUACAUCGGAACGUGCCCAGACGUGGGGGAUAACGAGGCGAAAGCUUUGCUAAUACCGCAUACGAUCUAAGGAUGAAAGCAGGGGACCGCAAGGCCUUGUGCGUUUGGAGCGGCCGAUGGCAGAUUAGGUAGUUGGUGGGAUAAAAGCUUACCAAGCCGACGAUCUGUAGCUGGUCUGAGAGGACGACCAGCCACACUGGGACUGAGACACGGCCCAGACUCCUACGGGAGGUAGCAGUGGGGAAUUUUGGACAAUGGGCGAAAGCCUGAUCCAGCAAUGCCGCGUGCAGGAUGAAGGCCUUCGGGUUGUAAACUGCUUUUGUACGGAACGAAAAGGCUCUGGCUAAUACCUGGGGCACAUGACGGUACCGUAAGAAUAAGCACCGGCUAACUACGUG